UACAGAGGUCUCAAGCGUUGUUCGGAUUCAUUGGGCGUAAAGGGUGCGUAGGCGGCGCGGUAAGUCGGGUGUGAAAUCUUGGAGCUUAACUCCGAAACUGCAUUCGAUACUGCCGUGCUUGAGGACUGGAGAGGAGACUGGAAUUUACGGUGUAGCGGUGAAAUGCGUAGAUAUCGUAAGGAAGACCAGUGGCGAAGGCGGGUCUCUGGACAGUUCCUGACGCUGAGGCACGAAGGUCGGGGAGCAAACGGG
rnacentral:rRNA from 1 species